UACGUAGGGUGCAAGCGUUAUCCGGAAUUAUUGGGCGUAAAGGGCGCGUAGGCGGCCUGUUAAGUCGAACGUGAAAUCCCUGGGCUCAACCCAGGAACUGCGUCCGAUACUGGCAGGCUUGAAUCCGGGAGAGGGAUGCGGAAUUCCAGGUGUAGCGGUGAAAUGCGUAGAUAUCUGGAGGAACACCGGUGGCGAAGGCGGCAUCCUGGACCGGCAUUGACGCUGAGGCGCGAAAGCCAGGGGAGCAAACGGG
rnacentral:rRNA from 1 species